AACGAACGUUGGCGGCGUGGAUUAGGCAUGCAAGUCGAACGCGAAAGGGUAGCAAUACCCGAGUAAAGUGGCGAACGGGUGAGUAACGCGUAGGAAACCUGCCUUCGAGUGGGGGAUAAC
rnacentral:rRNA from 1 species